ACAAAAGGAAUGCGCCUGACUGACGACUGUUCACCAGUGCACACACACACACACACUACACACUCUUUGCUUGGGUCUGGAGGUCACGUAAGGCGGGAUGCCACAAUUUUGAGACUUUCGGCACAGCACUGGCAGCUGCUGUGCUGCUGCUGCUGCUGCUGCUUCGUCAGGAAACAAAGCGUAUGUAUGUAUACGUACAUUCUCUCAAGACUCCUUUUGUAUCUCUCUCGGCUCACGACAUCUCUAUGAGCUCCGGAGCUCUCUCAGCGAGGAAAGUACUUUGCGAUUCUAGUCUAGUUUUGCUUUUAAGCUUUAGCUGUCCAGAGAUUGGAUUCCGAUCAAUCACUCGUUUUGAUCGGACUGGCUAAGCGCUGCUCGACUUGCA